CGGAGGAUCCAAGCGUUAUCCGGAUUUAUUGGGUUUAAAGGGUGCGUAGGCGGCUUUUUAAGUCAGGGGUGAAAGACGGUAGCUCAACUAUCGCAGUGCCCUUGAUACUGAAGAGCUUGAAUGUACUUGAGGUAGGCGGAAUGUGACAAGUAGCGGUGAAAUGCAUAGAUAUGUCACAGAACACCAAUUGCGAAGGCAGCUUACUAAUGUAUGAUUGACGCUGAGGCACGAAAGCGUGGGGAUCAAACAGGAUUAGAUACCCUGGUAGUCCACGCCCUAAACGAUGAACACUCGAUGUUGGCGAUAUACGGUCAGCGUCUAAGCGAAAGCGUUAAGUGUUCCACCUGGGGAGUACGCCCGCAAGGGUG
rnacentral:rRNA from 1 species